rnacentral:rRNA from 1 species
UACAGAGGAGCCAGCGUUGUCCGGAUUGACCGGGUCGUAAAGGCGCACGCAGGCGGGGGUGCGCGUGGGGUGUGAAAUCUGGCCGCUUGAACGGUCCAGGCGCCAUCCCAUACGGCACGCCUGGAGCCUUGCAGAGGUCGGUGGAAGUUGCCGGUGUAGUGGUGAAAUGCGUAGAGAUCGGCAGGAACACCCAGGGGGAAACCAGCC